AGGGAUUUAGCUCAGCGGCAUAAGCGCCUGCCUUGAAAGCAGGCAGUCGUGAGUUCAAUCCCCG
rnacentral:tRNA from 1 species